AUACUUACCUGACAGGGGACUUACCAUAAUCAAGAAGGCAGUUUUCCCAGGAUGAGACUCAUCCACUGCACACUGGAUGUGCUGACCACUCUCACUUUCUGAGAAAGAGGGAGAGAAAAGAAAAACUGUGUAGUCUGUCUUCUACAAGCUAUAACUUCUGUCAUCCACAUU